rnacentral:rRNA from 1 species
CACGUAGGGCGCAAGCGUUGUCCGGAAUUAUUGGGCGUAAAGAGCUCGUAGGCGGUCUGUUGCGUCCGCUGUGAAAACUCGGGGCUUAACCCCGAGCCUGCAGUGGAUACGGGCAGACUAGAGGUAGGUAGGGGAGAAUGGAAUUCCCGGUGUAGCGGUGAAAUGCGUAGAUAUCUGGAGGAACACCGGUGGCGAAGGCGGCAUCCUGGACCAAUACUGACACUGAGGAGCGAAAGCCAGGGGAGCAAACGGG